UCCGAGUUGGCCCCGGCAGUCUCCUACGAGUCCCCGGCAUUACCCGCUGGCAACAUAGGACAAGGGUUGCGCUCGUUGCGGGACUUAACCCAACACCUCACGGCACGAGCUGACGACAGCCAUGCGGCACCUUCCGGCCCGUCCCGAAGGAAAGCUCCCUUUCAGGAGCCGGCAGGCCGGAUUUAGCCCAGGUAAGGUUCUUCGCGUUGCAUCGAAUUAAACCACAUGCUCCACCGCUUGUGCGGGCCCCCGUCAAUUCCUUUGAGUUUUAGCCUUGCGGCCGUACUCCCCAGGCGGGGCGCUUAAUGCGUUAGCUGCGGCACGGAACACGUGGAAUGUGUCCCACACCCAGCGCCCAACGUUUACGGUGUGGACUAC
rnacentral:misc_RNA from 1 species